AUCUAAUUCUUCUUAGUAUAUUUUUCACUUAUCACUUUAUCAUAUUUGAUAAUUUUUACAUCAUUUAUAACAGAAUAUGCAUUAAAUGAGCCAUCAUUAAAAUAUCACCGCAAUGAAAUCAAGAUGGCAAAUCCAGAGGCUUUAAGAUGGAUCGAUAAUAUCCCCCUAAAAUAAUGGAUUAUGGCUUAUUCUCAAGGUCGACGAUGGGGACACAUGACAACAAAGGGUACACGCAAUCUCCCAAUCACUGCUUUGGUACAAUCAACAGACUAUAGAUUGAGAGUUUUAUAUGCAUAAAGGGGACAACAACAUCAAAUUAGUUUGCAGUUUAUCACAAUAAAUGUUAAGCAACUCAUUCUAGCUUCGUUUGAAAAUUCAUUGAAUCUUUUAGAGCAAAAUAAUUAUUUAUUGUAUGUUUUGAUAGAAUUAGUAAAACAACUGUAGGCUCUGUCUGAUUAUGAAUUUCUCAAACUAAGUGAGAAAGGUGAAGCAUUUGACUAUUCGAUAUGGUACAACUUUUCCCCGCAAGUCGACAAAUAUGCUAUGGGAAUAAAGGAAAAUAAGGUAUUAUCGGUGACUUGCCCCAUAUUUUGCCUAAAUCAAAAGAUAACAUCAUGGUUUUUGGGUUGAACGGUGAGAUAAUUUAUACGAAGCUGAUAUAAUUUAUAUGAAGCCAACUUGGAACAUAGCUCUAUUGGUUGUCAGAUAUGUCAAACACCGCAUGUACACCGAAUUUGCAGAGGAUAGAUCAAUUUCUCCGUGUCAAGCACUGUUGUAGGUCAUUCUGCAGACAUGGUACGGUCUUCGUGUCAGACACUGUUAUAGGUGUUAGUUUGAACACAACACAGUGAUCGCAUUAUGGAUCAUAUUUGGAAUAAGGCUUCUAAUAUGCAAUGCUAAAUAAUAGGUAUAAUUAUUGGAGCAUUUGACGGGGCCAAAUUGCAAUACACUUAGCAUUGUUGAAAGAAUGUAUAAAAGAAUUUGUUUUUGUCAACCACUCAAUAUUCUUCAGAAAUUAAUUAGAGAGGGAAACAACCUCUAGGAGAAGGCUUUGACUCUAAGGAUGCGAGGGGAUUCAUAAGUCAAAAGGAAGGGACAUACAAUGAACUCCACCUAACUAGAAACAUAUAACAUCUCUAACUUUAUUCUUUAUUUAUGAUUUGUCUGAUUAUGAAUUUCUAAAACUAAGUGAGAAGGUGAAGCCUUUAACAUGGGUCGUAAGGCUGAUGGAUUCAGGAAAUCGGAUUACUCGAUGUGCUACAACUUUUGCCCCGCAAGUUGACAAAUAUGCUAUGUGAAUAAAGAGAAUGAGGUAUUAUUGAUUACUUGUGCCCAUAUUUUGCCUAAAUCAAAAGAUAACAUUAUGGUUAGAAGAAUCGAUGAUAAAGAUUUUGGGUCGAACGCUGAUAUAAUUUAUAUGAAGUCAACUUGGGACAUAGCUCUUUUGAUUGUCAGAGAUGUCAAACACCAUAUGUACACCGAAUUUGCAGAGAAUGAUCGAUUUCUCCGUGUCAGACACCGUUGGUCUGUAUUCGUUGGACGUGCUGCAUACCAAUGUUUGGACAGCUUUGUUCCUUUUAGUCGUCGCGAGACUUGUAGAGACUAUCAACGUUUUAGUUUGAACACAACCCCAACAAAGUUUAGUUUCCAGAACUUCACCCUUCUAUCCCUAUUAUAUACAUUGUACUAGCUCGUUUAAAUAGCGAUGUUCUGGAGGACAGAUCUUUAAUAUCCAAGGCCAAACAGUAGUUAUGAUUAUUGGAGCAUUUGACGGGGGCCAAAUUGCUAUACAGUUAACAUUGUUCAAUUAAAAAAGAAUUUGUUUUGUCAACCACUCAAGACUCUUCAGAAAUUAACGAGAGGGAAACAACCUUUAGGAGAAGGCUUUGACUCUAAGGAUGCGAGGGGAUUCAAAAGGAAGGGACCAUCUAAGUGAUAAAAUGAUCUCCUCCUUACUGGAAGCAUAUAACAUCUCUAACUUUACUCUUUAUUUAUGUAUGUAUUUGGCUUUUGAUUGUUAUAUCUUAAAACAUCUCUUUAUUUAUGUAUGUAUUUAACUUUUGAUGG